GAAUAUUGCACAAUGGGGGAAACCCUGAUGCAGCCAUGCCGCGUGUGUGAAGAAGGCCUUCGGGUUGUAAAGCACUUUCAGUGGUGAGGAAGGAUGUAAGACUAAUACUCUUGCAUAUUGACGUUAGCCAACGAAGAAGCACCGGCUAACUCCGUGCCAGCAGCCGCGGUAAUACGGAGGGUGCAAGCGUUGAUCGGAAUUACUGGGCGUAAAGCGUACGUAGGCGGCUUGUUAAGCAAGAUGUGAAAUCCCCGGGCUCAACCUGGGAAUGGCAUUUUGAACUGGCAAGCUCGAGUUCUGAAGAGGGUGGUAGAAUUUCCUGUGUAGCGGUGAAAUGCGUAGAUAUAGGAAGGAAUACCAGUGGCGAAGGCGGCCACCUGGUCAGAAACUGACGCUGAGGUACGAAAGCGUGGGGAGCAAACAGGA
rnacentral:rRNA from 1 species